GAUGAACGCUGGCGGCGUGCCUAAUACAUGCAAGUCGAGCGCAGAAACUAGGAACUUGUACCAAUUGGGUUAGCAGCGGACGGGUGAGUAACGCGUGGGGAAUCUGCCUUUGAGCGGGGGACAACAUCGGGAAACGAAUGCUAAUACCGCAUAAUAUCUUUAACCGCAAGUUUUAAGAUUGAAAGAUGCAUUUGCAUCACCCAAAAAUGAUCCCGCGUUGUAUUAGCUAGUUGGUGAGGUAAAGGCUCACCAAGGCGAUGAUACGUAGCCGACCUGAGAGGGUGAUCGGCCACACUGGAACUGAGACACGGCCCAGACUCCUACGGGAGGCAGCAGUAGGGAAUCUUCGGCAAUGGACGAAAGCCUGACCGAGCAACGCCGCGUGAGUGAAGAAGGUUUUCGGAUCGUAAAACUCUGUUGUUAGGGAAGAACAUUGGUGAGAGUAGAAAGCUCAGUAAUGAAGGUAAACAACCCAGAAGGGACGGCCAACUUAGUG
rnacentral:rRNA from 1 species